GACGAACGCUGGCGGCGUGCUUAACACAUGCAAGUCGAACGGAAAGGCCCUGCUUGCAGGGUACUCGAGUGGCGAACGGGUGAGUAACACGUGGGUGAUCUGCCCUGCACUUCGGGAUAAGCCUGGGAAACUGGGUCUAAUACCGGAUAGGAGCCAUUUUUAGUGUGAUGGUUGGAAAGUUUUUUCGGUGUAGGAUGAGCUCGCGGCCUAUCAGCUUGUUGGUGGGGUAAUGGCCUACCAAGGCGGCGACGGGUAGCCGGCCUGAGAGGGUGGACGGCCAAAUUGGGGCGGGGGAAGGGCCCGGCGCCGACGGGGGGGGGGAGGGGGGGAAUUUGGACAAAUGGGGGGAGCCGGGUGGCGCGGCGCCGGGGGGGGGAUGACGGGCUUCGGGUUGGAAACGCCUUUCGCUAGGGACGAAGCUUUUUGUGACGGUACCUAGAUAAGAAGCACCGGCUAACUACGUG
rnacentral:rRNA from 1 species